GGAAUCUUCCACAAUGGGCGAAAGCCUGAUGGAGCAACGCCGCGUGUGUGAUGAAGGCUUUCGGGUCGUAAAGCACUGUUGUAUGGGAAGAAAAGCCAGAAUAGGGAAUGAUUUUAGUUUGACGGUACCAUACCAGAAAGGGACGGCUAACUACGUGCCAGCAGCCGCGGUAAUACGUAGGUGGCAAGCGUGGUCCGGAUUUAUUGGGCGUAAAGCGAGCGCAGGCGGUUUUUUAAGUCUGAUGUGAAAGCCUUCGGCUCAACCGAAGAAGUGCAUCGGAAACUGGGAAACUUGAGUGCAGAAGAGGACAGUGGAACUCCAUGUGUAGCGGUGAAAUGCGUAGAUAUAUGGAAGAACACCAGUGGCGAAGGCGGCUGUCUGGUCUGUAACUGACGCUGAGGCUCGAAAGUAUGGGUAGCAAACA
rnacentral:rRNA from 1 species